rnacentral:rRNA from 1 species
CGUAGGUGCAAGCGUUAAUCGGAAUUACUGGCGUAAGCGUGCGCAGGCGGUUGUAAGUCUGUCGUGAAAUCCCCGGGCUCAACCUGGGAAUUGCGUUGGAGACUGCAAGGCUGGAGUCUGGCAGAGGGGUAGAAUUCCACGUGUAGCAGUGAAAUGCGUAGAGAUGUGGAGGAACACCGAUGGCGAAGGCAGCCCCCUGGGUCAAGACUGACGCUCAUGCACGAAAGCGUGGGAGCAAACAGGAUU